rnacentral:RNase_MRP_RNA from 1 species
GGGCAUUCAGAAGACUUGCUCUCUGGGCUACAUGCGGAGGACGCAGUUUCUCAGUCUCCGCCCAGGGGAAAGUCCCCGGACUCGUGGCAGAAAGUGCUCUGGAUAGUUCCAGUGUUGGUCGGUGCUCGUACCGUCAUUCAGCGGAGAUGUUCAUUGAGUUGAACUGAGCUGGGUAAUCACCGACCAACUUUGUCAGCUGAUCGUAGUCAUGCAAGUAAGCGGCACUGACGCUUAACAGAACGGGGCUCAUUCUCCGAAUGCA